rnacentral:rRNA from 1 species
AGCGGCGGACGGGUGAGUAAUGCCUAGGAAAUUGCCCUGAUGUGGGGGAUAACCAUUGGAAACGAUGGCUAAUACCGCAUGAUGCCUACGGGCCAAAGAGGGGGACCUUCGGGCCUCUCGCGUCAGGAUAUGCCUAGGUGGGAUUAGCUAGUUGGUGAGGUAAGGGCUCACCAAGGCGACGAUCCCUAGCUGGUCUGAGAGGAUGAUCAGCCACACUGGAACUGAGACACGGUCCAGACUCCUACGGGAGGCAGCAGUGGGGAAUAUUGCACAAUGGGCGCAAGCCUGAUGCAGCCAUGCCGCGUGUAUGAAGAAGGCCUUCGGGUUGUAAAGUACUUUCAGUCGUGAGGAAGGCGGCGUCGUUAAUAGCGGCGUUGUUUGACGUUAGCGACAGAAGAAGCACCGGCUAACUCCGUGCCAGCAGCCGCGGUAAUACGGAGGGUGCGAGCGUUAAUCGGAAUUACUGGGCGUAAAGCGCAUGCAGGUGGUUUGUUAAGUCAGAUGUGAAAGCCCGGGGCUCAACCUCGGAAUAGCAUUUGAAACUGGCAGACUAGAGUACUGUAGAGGGGGGUAGAAUUUCAGGUGUAGCGGUGAAAUGCGUAGAGAUCUGAAGGAAUACCGGUGGCGAAGGCGGCCCCUGGACAGAUACUGACACUCAGAUGCGAAAGCGUGGGGAGCAAACAGGA